GGGGGCGCUCCGGUUUCGACGGGGAGUGUCGUCGCAGUGGGGGCAGGCCGAGGACGUCAUCUGGUCUCGUUAACCAUGGUGGCAAACCAAAACGAGUGCAGACAACAAUCUCGCUCUGGCCGCCUGAUUGAGGCGGUCCGUCUCCCCCGGGAGGGCCCACGGCCUGGGACGAGGCGUCAUUCAGUGGGCUGGCCAAACGGGGUGGUCCGACCCCGGGCGGUGAGACCCCUUCGGACUAGCGGCGGUGGCUUGGGCGCCGGAUCCCUGGCCACCGUGGCGAAUCCCCAAGUCCGGCUAAGCCUGUAGUCCCCACGCGGAGAGCUCUUCGGACGCGGGUUCGACUCCCGCCGCCUCCACCA
rnacentral:tmRNA from 1 species